CACUGUUCAUUAAUAGUGUCCGGACGGAAAUGCCCUUGCUUCUCUGUUUUCUUUCCGUUUGUCUCGCUUGCUUCAUGCGCCGGAGAGACGUUUUUGCCCCUGUUUUCCACGUGUCGGUCAUCCUUAUUCUCUCGACUUCGAGAGUCUUCUUAACGAGUUAGGGUUUUGUUCCUUCGUUGCCUUUCCUGAUUUCGGCUUUGGUCUUUUCGUUUUGCCCGUUCUUUCUUCCAAUCCUCUGCUUCUCUGUGGUCUCCGUUCUUUGUUUCGCAGAAAGGUCUGCUGAUUUUUGUGGUUUAAGGGACUUUGUGGUUGCCGGGUCGUUAUGCGUCUAUUUACACUUGGGGUUUUUUACGUUCCGAGGGUUUCGACAUCUCUGAUCCAGGGUAAUGAAUUCCUGAUGUUUGCCCCUUUUUUCCGUUUUGGAUUUCUGGGUUGUGGCUAUGAUUUUGGCCGAUUUCCAGCCCUUUUCAGGGGUGGCGUCUUUCCACCCCACUGUGGAACAAGUGUGAUUCAGCCAAGUUGUGGUGCUCUCUUGGGUUUUCCCUGUUAAAAGAGAAUUUUGCAUUUUCGUUCUUUGGUUGGCAAAUCUCGGAUGGCAUAUGCAAUGCUGCUGUAAUUUUUUGGGUCUGAAGACUAAUGUUACAAAUUGUGAUUCCAAAUCAGCUUAUCCUUAAUUCACAAAUACCAAGAUCGUUAUUUAUCUAUGAGUACAUGUGAUUUAUAAAUUGACAUUCUCACUGAGUUUUUUCUGAUUGUGUUGGUUGUCAUAUCAAUUGGUGUUAUUCCUUUUUCACAGUUCAAAAAUCUCUUCCGUCUCAAUGGAUAAAUCCAUAUAUUGGCUACCUUGAAAGACACAAAUUGUUUUUACAUGUUUGAGUUUUAUCUCAGGUGGGUUAGAUGUAUGUUUGAUUUGUUAAACCUAUGCAUUGCAGUCUGUCUUAUUCAUGUGGAUUAAUGCAAAAACAUAAUAGUAUUGGCCUGACAGAUUGUUGUUCACUUGCAGGUUACAAAACUAAUAC